GAUGAACGCUGGCGGCGUGCCUAAUACAUGCAAGUCGAGCGAACGGACGAGAAGCUUGCUUCUCUGAUGUUAGCGGCGGACGGGUGAGUAACACGUGGAUAACCUACCUAUAAGACUGGGAUAACUUCGGGAAACCGGAGCUAAUACCGGAUAAUAUUUUGAGCCGCAUGGUUCAAAAGUAAAAGACGGUCUUGCUGUCACUUAUAGAUGGAUCCGCGCUGCAUUAGCUAGUUGGUAAGGUAACGGCUUACCAAGGCAACGAUGCAUAGCCGACCUGAGAGGGUGAUCGGCCACACUGGAACUGAGACACGGUCCAGACUCCUACGGGAGGCAGCAGUAGGGAAUCUUCCGCAAUGGGCGAAAGCCUGACGGAGCAACGCCGCGUGAGUGAUGAAGGUCUUCGGAUCGUAAAACUCUGUUAUUAGGGAAGAACAUAUGUGUAAGUAACUGUGCACAUCUUGACGGUACCUAAUCAGAAAGCCACGGCUAACUACGUGCCAGCAGCCGCGGUAAUACGUAGGUGGCAAGCGUUAUCCGGAAUUAUUGGGCGUAAAGCGCGCGUAGCGGUUUUUUAAGUCUGAUGUGAAAGCCCACGGCUCAACCGUGGAGGGUCAUUGGAAACUGGAAAACUUGAGUGCAGAAGAGGAAAGUGGAAUUCCAUGUGUAGCGGUGAAAUGCGCAGAGAUAUGGAGGAACACCAGUGGCGAAGGCGACUUUCUGGUCUGUAACUGACGCUGAUGUGCGAAAGCGUGGGGAUCAAACAGGAUUAGAUACCCUGGUAGUCCACGCCGUAAACGAUGAGUGCUAAGUGUUAGGGGGUUUCCGCCCCUUAGUGCUGCAGCUAACGCAUUAAGCACUCCGCCUGGGGAGUACUACCGCAAGGUUGAAACUCAAAGGAAUUGACGGGGACCCGCACAAGCGGUGGAGCAUGUGGUUUAAUUCGAAGCAACGCGAAGAACCUUACCAAAUCUUGACAUCCUUUGACAACUCUAGAGAUAGAGCCUUCCCCUUCGGGGGACAAAGUGACAGGUGGUGCAUGGUUGUCGUCAGCUCGUGUCGUGAGAUGUUGGGUUAAGUCCCGCAACGAGCGCAACCCUUAAGCUUAGUUGCCAUCAUUAAGUUGGGCACUCUAAGUUGACUGCCGGUGACAAACCGGAGGAAGGUGGGGAUGACGUCAAAUCAUCAUGCCCCUUAUGAUUUGGGCUACACACGUGCUACAAUGGACAAUACAAAGGGCAGCGAAACCGCGAGGUCAAGCAAAUCCCAUAAAGUUGUUCUCAGUUCGGAUUGUAGUCUGCAACUCGACUACAUGAAGCUGGAAUCGCUAGUAAUCGUAGAUCAGCAUGCUACGGUGAAUACGUUCCCGGGUCU
rnacentral:rRNA from 1 species